rnacentral:rRNA from 1 species
UACGUAGGGAGCAAGCGUUGUCCGGAUUUAUUGGGCGUAAAGAGCUCGUAGGCGGUUUGUCGCGUCGGAUGUGAAAACCCAGGGCUCAACCCUGGGCCUGCAUUCGAUACGGGCAGACUAGAGUAUGGCAGGGGAGACUGGAAUUCCUGGUGUAGCGGUGAAAUGCGCAGAUAUCAGGAGGAACACCGAUGGCGAAGGCAGAUCUCUGGGCCGUAACUGACGCUGAGGAGCGAAAGCAUGGGGAGCGAACAGG